GCUUGCUGGGGUGGAUGAGUGGCGAACGGGUGAGUAACACGUGAGUAACCUUCCCUUGACUCUGGGAUAAGCCCGGGAAACUGGGUCUAAUACCGGAUAUGACCUCCUGUCGCAUGGUGGGGGGUGGAAAGAUUUAUCGGUCUUGGAUGGACUCGCGGCCUAUCAGCUUGUUGGUGAGGUAAUGGCUCACCAAGGCGACGACGGGUAGCCGGCCUGAGAGGGUGACCGGCCACACUGGGACUGAGACACGGCCCASACUCCUACGGGAGGCAGCAGUGGGGAAUAUUGCACAAUGGGCGCAAGCCUGAUGCAGCGACGCCGCGUGAGGGAUGACGGCCUUCGGGUUGUAAACCUCUUUCAGUAGGRAAGAAGCCUUCGGGUGACGGUACCUGCAGAAGAAGCGCCGGCUAACUACGUGCCAGCAGCCGCGGUAAUACGUAGGGCGCGAGCGUUAUCCGGAAUUAUUGGGCGUAAAGAGCUCGUAGGCGGUUUGUCGCGUCUGCCGUGAAAGUCCGGGGCUUAACCCCGGAUCUGCGGUGGGUACGGGCAGACUAGAGUGCAGUAGGGGAGACCGGAAUUCCUGGUGUAGCGGUGAAAUGCGCAGAUAUCAGGAGGAACACCGAUGGCGAAGGCAGGUCUCUGGGCUGUUACUGACGCUGAGGAGCGAAAGCAUGGGGAGCGAACAGGAUUAGAUACCCUGGUAGUCCAUGCCGUAAACGUUGGGCACUAGGUGUGGGGGACAUUCCACGUUUUCCGCGCCGCAGCUAACGCAUUAAGUGCCCCGCCUGGGGAGUACGGCCGCAAGGCUAAAACUCAAAGGAAUUGACGGGGGCCCGCACAAGCGGCGGAGCAUGCGGAUUAAUUCGAUGCAACGCGAAGAACCUUACCAAGGCUUGACAUGUUCUCGAUCGCCACAGAGAUGUGGUUUCCCCUUUGGGGCGGGUUCACAGGUGGUGCAUGGUUGUCGUCAGCUCGUGUCGUGAGAUGUUGGGUUAAGUCCCGCAACGAGCGCAACCCUCGUUCCAUGUUGCCAGCGGGUUAUGCCGGGGACUCAUGGGAGACUGCCGGGGUCAACUCGGAGGAAGGUGGGGACGACGUCAAAUCAUCAUGCCCCUUAUGUCUUGGGCUUCACGCAUGCUACAAUGGCCGGUACAAUGGGUUGCGAUACUGUGAGGUGGAGCUAAUCCCAAAAAGCCGGUCUCAGUUCGGAUUGGGGUCUGCAACUCGACCCCAUGAAGUCGGAGUCGCUAGUAAUCGCAGAUCAGCAACGCUGCGGUGAAUACGUUCCCGGGCCUUGUACACACCGCCCGUCAAGUCACGAAAGUCGGUAACACCCGAAGCCGGUGGCCCAA
rnacentral:rRNA from 1 species